rnacentral:rRNA from 1 species
ACGAUGAACCACUUCGGUGGGGAUUAGUGGCGAACGGGUGAGUAACACGUGGGCAAUCUGCCCUUCACUCUGGGACAAGCCCUGGAAACGGGGUCUAAUACCGGAUAACACUUCCACUCGCAUGGGUGGAGGUUAAAAGCUCCGGCGGUGAAGGAUGAGCCCGCGGCCUAUCAGCUUGUUGGUGAGGUAAUGGCUCACCAAGGCGACGACGGGUAGCCGGCCUGAGAGGGCGACCGGCCACACUGGGACUGAGACACGGCCCAGACUCCUACGGGAGGCAGCAGUGGGGAAUAUUGCACAAUGGGCGAAAGCCUGAUGCAGCGACGCCGCGUGAGGGAUGACGGCCUUCGGGUUGUAAACCUCUUUCAGCAGGGAAGAAGCGAAAGUGACGGUACCUGCAGAAGAAGCGCCGGCUAACUACGUGCCAGCAGCCGCGGUAAUACGUAGGGCGCAAGCGUUGUCCGGAAUUAUUGGGCGUAAAGAGCUCGUAGGCGGUCUGUCGCGUCGGAUGUGAAAGCCCGGGGCUUAACCCCGGGUCUGCAUUCGAUACGGGCAGACUAGAGUGUGGUAGGGGAGAUCGGAAUUCCUGGUGUAGCGGUGAAAUGCGCAGAUAUCAGGAGGAACACCGGUGGCGAAGGCGGAUCUCUGGGCCAUUACUGACGCUGAGGAGCGAAAGCGUGGGGAGCGAACAGGAUUAGAUACCCUGGUAGUCCACGCCGUAAACGGUGGGAACUAGGUGUUGGCGACAUUCCACGUCGUCGGUGCCGCAGCUAACGCAUUAAGUUCCCCGCCUGGGGAGUACGGCCGCAAGGCUAAAACUCAAAGGAAUUGACGGGGG